AAUGGAAGCUGCGGAGUCAACCAUGCAGACAAAUGAGAAGCUAUCUUUUGUCUGCAGAAGGCAGCAAUCCUACAUCAACAUGGAGGUCUCUGUCUGACUUAGGAUAGCUGGCUAAGUCCGAUCGUUCCCCUCCAUACAAC
ensembl:scaRNA small Cajal body-specific RNA 3